UCUCACUAUCUCUGCACAUUAAACGUGAGGGGGGAUCCCCCACCUCUCCCCCCUGCCCACCUGAAGACCCCCACUCAGACAGAUACCAGACGUUUCUGCGUGUGAGGACCAACAGACAUACAAGACUGAAUGUCGAUGACUGGUGCUACGCCAAACCCGCCCCUUUAAGUCCCCACAACAGAAGUCACCUAACCCCAGACUGCAAAAGAACUGG